AGCAGCCGCGGUAAUUCCAGCUCCAAUAGCGUAUAUUAAAGUUGUUGCAGUUAAAAAGCUCGUAGUUGAAUUUCGGGGUCAAUAAGUUGGUCAUGCCAAUGGUAUGCACUGGCUUUAUUGAUUCCUACCUCUUGACGAACUGUGAUGCCAUUAAUUUGGUGUUGCAAGGAAUCAGGACUGUUACCUUGAAAAAUUAGAGUGUUUAAAGCAAGCUUACGCUUGAAUACAUUAGCAUGGAAUAAUGAAAUAGGACGUUUGAUCCUAUUUUGUUGGUUUCUAGGAUCGACGUAAUGAUUAAUAGGGAUAGUUGGGGGCAUUAGUAUUCAAUUGUCAGAGGUGAAAUUCUUGGAUUUAUUGAAGACUAACUACUGCGAAAGCAUUUGCCAAGGAUGUUUUCAUUAAUCAAGAACGAAAGUUAGGGGAUCGAAGACGAUCAGAUACCGUCGUAGUCUUAACCAUAAACUAUGCCGACUAGGGAUCGGAUGAUGUUAAUUUUUAAUGACU
rnacentral:rRNA from 1 species